rnacentral:rRNA from 1 species
UGGGGAAUCUUGCGCAAUGGGCGAAAGCCUGACGCAGCGACGCCGCGUGGGGGAUGAAGGCCUUCGGGUUGUAAACCCCUUUCAGCAGGGACGAAGCGAAAGUGACGGUACCUGCAGAAGAAGCCCCGGCUAACUACGUGCCAGCAGCCGCGGUAAGACGUAGGGGGCAAGCGUUGUCCGGAUUCAUUGGGCGUAAAGCGCGCGCAGGCGGCUCGGUAAGUCGGUUGUGAAAACACGAGGCUCAACCUCGUGCCUGCAUCCGAUACUGUCGAGCUCGAGGCAGGUAGGGGAGAUCGGAAUUCCUGGUGUAGCGGUGAAAUGCGCAGAUAUCAGGAGGAACACCGGUGGCGAAGGCGGAUCUCUGGGCCUGUCCUGACGCUCAGGCGCGAAAGCUGGGGGAGCAAACAGG